GUUGUCGUACAUAGUAACCACCCCACACUGCAUGUCGAGCGGACUUUACCUUCGGGUAAAGUUAGCGGCGGACGGGUGAGUAACACGUGGGUAACCUGCCCAUAAGACUGGGAUAACAUUCGGAAACGAAUGCUAAUACCGGAUACGCGAAACGGUCGCAUGAUCGAAUCGGGAAAGGCGGAGCAAUCUGCCACUUAUGGAUGGACCCGCGGCGCAUUAGCUAGUUGGUGGGGUAACGGCUCACCAAGGCGACGAUGCGUAGCCGACCUGAGAGGGUGAUCGGCCACACUGGGACUGAGACACGGCCCAGACUCCUACGGGAGGCAGCAGUAGGGAAUCUUCCGCAAUGGACGAAAGUCUGACGGAGCAACGCCGCGUGAGUGAUGAAGGUUUUCGGAUCGUAAAGCUCUGUUGCCAGGGAAGAACGCUUGCGAGAGUAACUGCUCGCAAGGUGACGGUACCUGAGAAGAAAGCCCCGGCUAACUACGUGCCAGCAGCCGCGGUAAUACGUAGGGGGCAAGCGUUGUCCGGAAUUAUUGGGCGUAAAGCGCGCGCAGGCGGCCUUGUAAGUCUGUCGUUUAAACUCGGAGCUCAACUUCGAGUCGCGAUGGAAACUGCAAAGCUUGAGUGCAGAAGAGGAAAGUGGAAUUCCACGUGUAGCGGUGAAAUGCGUAGAGAUGUGGAGGAACACCAGUGGCGAAGCGACUUUCUGGGCUGUAACUGACGCUGAGGCGCGAAAGCGUG
rnacentral:rRNA from 1 species